rnacentral:lncRNA from 1 species
AAACCACUGAUUUUCUUUUCCUUUGUAAAUCAGGUUCUGGCACGAGUAAUUUUAAAAUAUGGUGUAUAGUAUUCAUUGACUUUGUAAAAUCAUUUCAUCUGUUUGUAAAGACUAGUUGAUUAAAUCGUCAAAUUGUUAAUGAACUCCCUUUAUUUCAAUGAAUUGAUUUUUGAGCUACUAUGGGUAAAAGAAUUUAACGUUUACACUUAUAUUUGAUUAUAUUAAUUUGCUUAAGAAUUAUGCUUUUAAGUAAUGUUUGAUUACUUUAUUGAAUGUAUACGGUCGAAUAUGGUAGUUUUUGGGAAGCUAAUACACAAUUCCCAUUCUCUUUGCAGCAUAUAUAAGCUACACGACUAUGGGGAAGCAACUCGUAAUAGUAGCAAUAUAAAGUGCUUCACCACUUCCAAAAAGAGUAGAUGGCAACAUAAAUAAACUCAACUUUUUAUGGAAAAAAAGCCGUGAACAACAACUUGAGAUCUUGGCUUGAGUUACAAGUACUAUCAAAAUCUCAAGUCACGUGCUUCCUCCAUCAUGACCAUCACCAUAUAAAAGAAAGUUGUGGUAUCAUAUGUCAAGGUUCUGUCCGUUGGAAACCAAUAUCAACGAGUAUUUAUUUACUAUGAGAAGAAAUAUUGAGGAAUUUCUAAUGAGGAUAGAAUAUGAAUAUCAUUUGUGUUAUGCAAAUAAAUUUAUCAAGAGAUAGAGACGAAUUAUUCAAAUGCUACUAUGAAUAUUAG